AUUGAACGCUGGCGGUAGGCUUAACACAUGCAAGUCGUGCGAGAAAGUAUCUUCGGAUAUGAGUAGAGCGGCGGACGGGUGAGUAACGCGUAGGAAUCUACCUAGUAGAAGGGGAUAGCCCCGAGGAAACUCGGAUUUAAUACCGUAUACCUCCUUAGGGAGAAAGAGGGCCUCUCUUGAUGCUCUCGCUAUUAGAUGAGCCUGCGUAAGAUUAGCUUGUUGGUGAGGUAAUGGCUCACCAAGGCUACGAUCUUUAGCUGGUCUGAGAGGACGAUCAGCCACAUUGGGACUGAGACACGGCCCCAGACUCCUACGGGAGGCAGCAGUGGGGAAUAUUGGACAAGUGGGCGCAAGCCUGAUCCAG
rnacentral:rRNA from 1 species